AUUGAACGCUGGCGGCAGGCCUAACACAUGCAAGUCGAACGAGUGGCGGACGGGUGAGUAAUGUCUGGGAAACUGCCUGAUGGAGGGGGAUAACUACUGGAAACGGUAGCUAAUACCGCAUACCAUCAGAUGUGCCCAGAUGGGAUUAGCUAGUUGGUGGGGUAACGGCUCACCAAGGCGACGAUGCCUAGCUGUUCUGAGAGGAUGACCAGCCACACUGGAACUGAGACACGGUCCAGACUCCUACGGGAGGCAGCAGUGGGGAAUAUUGCGCAAUGGGCGCAAGCCUGAUACAGCAAUGCCGCGUGUAUGAAGAAGGCCUUCGGGUUGUAAAGUACUGUCAUCGGGGAAGCGGUACCCGCAGAAGAAGCAACGGCUAACUCCGUGCCAGCAGCCGCGGUAAUUC
rnacentral:rRNA from 1 species